rnacentral:rRNA from 1 species
GUUUGAUCCUGGCUCAGGACGAACGCUGGCGGCGUGCUUAACACAUGCAAGUCGAGCGGAAAGGCCACUUCGGUGGUACUCGAGCGGCGAACGGGUGAGUAACACGUGAGUAAUCUGCCCUCCACUUUGGGAUAGCCACCGGAAACGGUGAUUAAUACCGGAUAUGACCUCGGCCCGCAUGGGUUGUGGUGGAAAGUUUUUCGGUGGGGGAUGUGCUCGCGGCCUAUCAGCUUGAUGGUGGGGUAAUGGCCUACCAUGGCUUCGACGGGUAGCCGGCCUGAGAGGGUGACCGGCCACACUGGGACUGAGACACGGCCCAGACUCCUACGGGAGGCAGCAGUGGGGAAUAUUGGACAAUGGGCGGAAGCCUGAUCCAGCAACGCCGCGUGAGGGAUGACGGCCUUCGGGUUGUAAACCUCUUUCAGCACAGACGAAGCGAAAGUGACGGUAUGUGCAGAAGAAGCACCGGCCAACUACGUGCCAGCAGCCGCGGUAAUACGUAGGGUGCGAGCGUUGUCCGGAAUUAUUGGGCGUAAAGGGCUCGUAGGCGGUUUGUCGCGUCGGGAGUGAAAACACACAGCUUAACUGUGUGCUUGCUUCCGAUACGGGCAGACUAGAGGUAUGCAGGGGAGAACGGAGUUCCUGGUGUAGCGGUGAAAUGCGCAGAUAUCAGGAGGAACACCGGUGGCGAAGGCGGUUCUCUGGGCAUUACCUGACGCUGAGGAGCGAAAGUGUGGGGAGCGAACAGGAUUAGAUACCCUGGUAGUCCACACCGUAAACGUUGGGCGCUAGGUGUGGGGCCUAUUCCAUGGGUUCCGUGCCGCAGCUAACGCAUUAAGCGCCCCGCCUGGGGAGUACGGCCGCAAGGCUAAAACUCAAAGGAAUUGACGG